UUGAAGUUGGGUUUCAUGUGAGAGAGGUUGACCAAAACGAAAUGAAGGGAACGAAAGGGGGAAACGGAACGAAAAGGAGAAGGGAUGAGAGGACGGAAAAAUGGUGAGACGAGGAAGGAAGAGGGAGAUGGUGGAGAUGGGUGAAACGAGAGAAGGAAAGAAAAGACGUGGCGGAGAUGAGCGGCAGAGAGCAGGUGGAGAGAGAGGGGGAGGCGAGAGCAGGUGGAGAGGGAGGGACCGGCAACAGAUGCUACCGCCUGGUUGCAGGGAGUUAGAGAGAGAGAGAGCAGCAGAGUGGGGCAGAGAUGGCCGAGGAUUAGAGAGAGAGCAGCAGCAGAGUGGGACGGAGAUUGCAGAGGGUUGCAGAGGAGGCCUGGUUACGGGUGGCAGCUGAGGCUGAGCGGGGAUGACUUGGUUGCGGACGGCUGAAGAAGAGGGCUCGGCAGCGAAAGUGGACAGCAGAGAAAGAGGGCUCGGCAGGCUGAAAAAGGGCUCGGUGGGCUGAGGAGAGGGCACGACAGGCUGAGGUAAAGGCAGGGCAAGCUGAGGUGGCUCGGUAGGCUGAGGUGGCUCUACAGAGUGCGAGUGAGGUUGCUGUUGUGGGUUGUGCACGGCGGACGUGAGGGAAAUGGAUCAGCAGGAUGGAGGCCGUGGCUAGUGUGGGUUGUGCACGUCAGGGAGAAGUUUGUGGGUGCGUGGGAGCACAGGAGAGAAGGAAAGGGUGGACCUGAGGGAGCACAGCAGAGGGAGCGUGAGGGGGCAUGACAGAAGUAGGUGGUUGUGAGGGAGUUUGGACGUGCAGAGAGAGAGAAGGAAGGAGAGAGAAGGAAAGUAAAAGAAACGAGAGAAGAGAAAAAAAGAAACGAGAGAAGGAAAAGAGGGAAAGGAGAGAGAGAGAGGAACGGUGAAGGCUAGCUAGACUUUUGUUCGACCUUCCAAAAGGGAGAGGAGAGAAAUGAAGGAUGGCGGGGAGACGAGGAAAGAAAGAGAGAAAGGAAAGAGGAAGAAAGAGAGGAUAAAAAACGAAAAAAAAAAAAAGGAAAGAUAAAAAAAGGCCAGGAGGAAAGAAGAAGAGAAAAAAAAAAGAAAAAAGAAGAGAGCGAAAGAGAGAAGAAAGGAGAGAGAAGAGAUGAAAGAAAACAAAGUUAAGAGAGACAAAGUUAAGAGAGAGAAAGGAGAGGAGAAAAAGUUAUCUUGAUGGCCCAAAAGUAUCUACCUAAAAUCUUC
rnacentral:lncRNA from 1 species